rnacentral:rRNA from 1 species
GACGAACGCUGGCGGCGUGCCUAAUACAUGCAAGUCGAACGAACUCUGGUAAUGAUUGGUGCUUGCAUCAUGAAUUACAUUUGAGUGAGUGGCGAACUGGUGAGUAACACGUGGGAAACCUGCCCAGAAGCGGGGGAUAACACCUGGAAACAGAUGCUAAUACCGCAUAACAACUUGGACCGCAUGGUCCGAGUUUGAAAGAUGGCUUCGGCUGUCACUUUUGGAUGGUCCCGCGGCGUAUUAGCUAGAUGGUGAGGUAACGGCUCACCAUGGAAAUGGUACGUAGCCGACCGGAGAGGGUAAUCGGCCACAUUGGGACUGAGACACGGCCCAAACUCCUACGGGAGGCAGCAGUAGGGAAUCUUCCACAAUGGACGAAAGUCUGAUGGAGCAACGCCGCGUGAGUGAAGAAGGGUUUCGGCUCGUAAAACUCUGUUGUUAAAGAAGAACAUAUCUGAGAGUAACUGUUCAGGUAUUGACGGUAUUUAACCAGAAAGCCACGGCUAACUACGUGCCAGCAGCCGCGGUAA